UAAUGGUUGAAUUUGAGGACCUUAUUAAUUAUUCAGCUAAAAUCCAUGCCUGUAUAACUGAAGCUAACUGUUGAGUCUAGUCCUGACAACAUCGGAGCCAACUCAGCAGCAUCAUAUGGUCUCCUGGUGACUCAGACUGGACCAAUGCCCUGACCUCUUAUCCCAGCUAUAGCAACUUAUGUAAAGCUUGGAAAACUUCUCUCUGUGGGAGCAGUCCGCAUGGGCUCCGAUCAAUAGCAGGACUUGCAGCAGAGCACGAGCAAGGAUAUCUACUGGAAAGGCUACCAUGUCUAAGACACAUUAACUGUCUUGUUUCUCUGCUCCUGGCAUAGAAGUUGUCAGCUGUGCUGUUCACAUGAAGGAAAUACUGGAAUCUCAUUUAUGUA